rnacentral:rRNA from 1 species
GUCUAUGGCCCUGCCACCCUGAACGUGCCCGAUCUUGUCUGAUCUCGGAAGCUAAGCGGAGUCAGGGUUGGUUAGUACUUGGAUGAGAGACUACCUAGGAAUACCUGGUAUUCCUAGGUA